UACGUAGGGACCAAGCGUUGUUCGGAUUUACUGGGCGUAAAGGGUGCGUAGGCGGCUUAACAAGUCACUUGUGAAAUCUCCGGGCUUAACUCGGAACGGCCAAGUGAAACUGUCAAGCUAGAGUGCAGAAGGGGCAAUCGGAAUUCUUGGUGUAGCGGUGAAAUGCGUAGAUAUCAAGAGGAACACCUGAGGUGAAGACGGGUUGCUGGGCUGACACUGACGCUGAGGCGCGAAAGCCAGGGGAGCAAACGGG
rnacentral:rRNA from 1 species